rnacentral:rRNA from 1 species
UACGUAGGGGGCAAGCGUUGUCCGGAAUCAUUGGGCGUAAAGAGCGCGUAGGCGGUCCGGUAAGUCGGCUGUGAAAGUCCAGGGCUCAACCCUGGGAUGCCGGUCGAUACUGCCGGACUAGAGUUCGGAAGAGGCGAGUGGAAUUCCCGGUGUAGCGGUGAAAUGCGCAGAUAUCGGGAGGAACACCUAUGGCGAAGGCAGCUCGCUGGGACGUUACUGACGCUGAGACGCGAAAGCGUGGGGAGCAAACAGG